rnacentral:tRNA from 1 species
GUCCUUGUAGCUUAAACUCAGCAAAGCAUGGCACUGAAGAUGCCAAGAUGGUCACCCAACACCCCAGGACA